rnacentral:tRNA from 1 species
GCCGGCGUAGCUCAGUGGUAGAGCGCGGGACUCAUAAGCCCAAGGUCAGUGGUUCGAUCCCACUCGCCGGCA